rnacentral:lncRNA from 1 species
UCAGCAAAGUGCACAGCUGCAUAAUAGAGAAGCCGGCACUCAGAUUGACAGGCAAAUAAGCCAGCUUGUGGAAGGGGCCUCUGGGUGGCAGCUCUGGGCUUUUGGGUGUUGGACAACCAUAGGCAAAACUGAAAUGGAACAGGGGCAGAAAAUAGCACACUUUUACUCUACGCAACUGUUGCUUUUUCAUGGAGCUCUUUCUGAGAUGAAGAGAAUUCUCAAUGUCAAGAUUUGAACAAGAAGAGAAUGGAAUACACAAUAUGGACAUCCAUAAAAAUUCAUCAGAGAGCAUUUUACUACUGAGCUGCAAAGAUGACAAGAGCACCUCAAAGGCAGCAGCCUCAAGGAGCAGCCAUGGCCCCAGACUUGUCGCACGGAUGCAGAAAACUUAAUGGAGGAGGCUGAGGUCAGAAUGGGAAGAGUUUUUAAAAAAUAAAAAGGGGAGCUAAUAUGUGAGGAACUGAUUGCUGUGCAUUAUUUUCCACUGAACAGACCUUCUUUUAACUUCUAAUCUCAAGCACAUAGCAGCUGUUGUUUUCAUAUUAAAGAUCAGUAAGUGUUUGUUGAAUGAAUGUAUAAAUUCUUCCCCAAUCUCUGUUCCAUGUAAUAAGAACUAAGUUAGCAUUCAAUUAUAAAGAGGACUUAGAAAGUCUGCAGACAUUUUUGAUCAAAAAUCCUUUUAACUGUCUUCUUAUGGUUCCCGGUAACACCUAAGCCCAAAAAACUCAGGUCAUUUCUUGCCUGUACUGUUGCAAUAGCCUCAUAAUAACUAGUCUUCUCCUUUAUCAACCACAGUCGUCUCCGCUACACAAAGAAGAGAGGGUGCUAAUCUAAAGUGUAAAUUAUUUUAAAUCAGCACCCUUCUUGUAAUUUCCCAGUGGUUUUUCCUGUCAUAAGAAUAACAUGCAAAAUUCCUUGCUUGCAAAGCCAGGUAUGACCUUGCCCCGUCUACCUUACUGGCAUCGUCUCUCAUGACUCUUCCCCUUUUUCACUCUCCAUCUUGCCUUUUCCCAACCAUGCCUGCUAGUGAGCCUUAGCCCUUGUGUUUUCUCUGCCAGGGAUGCAUGACUGGCUUCUUUACUUUAUUCUGAUCUCUCUGCUCAAAUGUCAUCUUUUUAGAGAUAGCUUUCCUAAACAUCUUUAAAAGUACCCCAUGAACUGUG